UUCACCCAUGCUUCCUAUCAGCCACCCCACUCCAUCUCAUGUCAACCCAAUCAACUUCAAAAGUCAAGAUUUAGUCAUGCUUGGCAGCCACCAACUCCCCUAAUUUCAGCCCUCAAAUAUCUCUGCAUAAUUGAAGGAAACCCAUCCUUUGCACUUUCACUAGCAACUCAAAUAUCCUUCAAAUUACUCUCUCGUUCCAGCCUAUCCAUGGAGUUUCAAGUAUACAACAAGAGACCACCAUUCAAAGAACUCUUCCCCUACACAGACAUCACAAGGUGUUUACCUCAAUUUACUUUGUCUCUGUUUCAAGCACACACAGCUAUCUCGUUUGUACAGAACACCAACCAAGAUUUCAAUAUUUUCAUAACAAAUUCACAAGCAUGACAAAUUAUUUACAUAAAUGCAUACAAUCUGUAUACAUGUUUAUUCAUAGUCUGUGCAUAUAUUUAUAAAUGAAAGCAUGAUUCAUUGAAGGAAAAGAAAAGAAAAGAAAAGAUCUUUAUGAAAGAAGAGUCUUGAAGCUUUAACUUUUCGAACUUGCUGUGUCGAGGCUUGGUCGAGGCUUGACUGUUGUGUAUGUGUGUCCUGUUGAGUAUGUGCGGUAUGUGUGUGAGUCGGUGGAGGGGCGGCGAAGUGGCGGCUUCCGCUGCUGCUCGCCGGAAACAGAGGGAGAUGGACUGAGCUGGGGUUGCAGAGGGCUGGACUAGAGGUCAGGGGGCGGCGGUCAGCAGCGGUCCUCGCUGCUGUCGGCCGGAGGGGGCAGAGGGUAGGGGGAUGGGCGACUGCUUCGAUAGGAUCAGCGGAGGGAGGCAGGGCACGGCGGCGGUGCCGCUGCUGCCCGGCCACGGCUGGAGAGAGAGAGGUGGUCUGGGCUGGGUAUUGCUGAGGGUGUCGGCGACGGUGGCUCGGCUGCUGUUGCCGGAAGGCCGAGAGAGAGAUCGCGAGGGAGGUCAGCGGCGGCAGUCCACUUCUUCGGCUGUCGUCGGGCGAUCUGUGAACGGACGGAGAGAGAGAAGAAGGUGACGGUGAGGGUGACCGGAGACGGCGCUCUUCGCCGGAGAUGGGCCUCGGCGGCCGUGAGUUCGGGAGAAAGAGAGAGAUCGGUGCUGCUAUGUGUGUGUGUGCGUUGUGAGGCAGAGAGAGAGAGACGAGAAUUGAGGGAGAUGAGGCCGGAGUUGACGGUCGGUGGCUGGUUCGCUGCUUCGCCGGAGAAUAAAGGGAGCCGGGCGGAUUGUGUGAGCCGAGAGAGAGUUGAGUGGAUUUCUUUUUGAGAGUGAAUGGAGAGAGAGACGAAAUGGGGGAGAAGAGGCGCAGCUGUGAGGGAGGAAAGGAAGAAAAGAGGUUUUUGGGCUAUUAGGGCUGGGCCUAAUUGAGCUGGGCCCGAUUUAUUUUAUUCAGUCUGGGCCAUUCCUAUUUUAUUGAGUUGGGCCUCAUCUUUUAAUUGGUAUGGGCUAUUAUUUAUUUAAGCAUGGGCUCUAUUUCAUCUAUUUAAAUGGCUUCCCUAUUUUAUUUAAUUAGACUAAUAAUUAGUUUGAUUAAAUUAUUUUAAAGAUGAUUUGCAUUAUAAUAUUAUUAGCAUCAUGAAGUGCAUAUUUUCAAAUAAUUACUUAUUACAUUAUUAAAGUAUGAAAUGAGCUAUGCAUUUGCAUCAUGAUUUAAUUGGUUUUAAUUAUAAUUCCAAUUAUUAAAGAAAGACGAGUAAGAAUAUUGUUGGUGUUCUUAACUCAAGAGAAAUGUUUUCAAUUAUUUAUUAAAUUUUGAGAACUCGGCGUGAUGAAUCAAAGAAUGUCUAGCACGUCCUCUAUGAUUUAAGAUAAGAUUAAGGAGACCUAUUAAGAAUAGAAUUUCUUGUAGGCUUUGUGACCAGGGGGAUUAGCGCUGCUUUCCCAAGACAGGUUUUUAUGUGAUUAUGAUCUUCAGGCUUUGCCUA
rnacentral:lncRNA from 1 species